CGGCGGACGGGUGAGUAACACGUGGAUAACCUACCUAUAAGACUGGGAUAACUUCGGGAAACCGGAGCUAAUACCGGAUAAUAUAUUGAACCGCAUGGUUCAAUAGUGAAAGACGGUUUUGCUGUCACUUAUAGAUGGAUCCGCGCCGCAUUGGCUAGUUGGUAAGGUAACGGCUUACCAAGGCAACGAUGCGUAGCCGACCUGAGAGGGUGAUCGGCCACACUGGAACUGAGACACGGUCCAG
rnacentral:rRNA from 1 species